GGCUAGCUGGAAAGAAUACAAAAAAUAAAACAAAAUUUAAGUCACAACUUUCAGGAUAAUUGUAAUAAAAUUUUAAAUGGAAAAUUUCUAUAUUGUAUAUACGCAAUCUAUAUGACAUCUAAAAUUGCCUAUCCAUUAUAGUAACUUAAUAUGUUUCUUCCUCAUUUGAAUUUACCACAAUUGCAAGUGCCCUGUAAGAAAAUCCUAAUUACUGGAAAUCAAGUAUUUUACUAAGUUAGUUAUUUCAAUAGUAAAAUUUUUUUAGUUCAUUGACAUAUAGAAGACAAGUUGGCUCACUGACUUACACAGUAUAUCCGUUCCUAGAUUUUCAACUUUCUAUACUAAAAAUGUUGCCAUUCAUUCAUUUACUGGAUUAGGUACACCACUACAAAAUCAAACACCUCAUCUUACUCUUUAAAGGUUUUUUUGGGUCUAUCAUACAAUUUGUGUCCUUUACUUAAAAAAUUAGAAGACAUAACCAAACAAAUUAUAGUAAUUCACCCACAGUCCCAUUACCCCAGGAAAACUAUGACUGGUUUUAAUUAUAUCUUUCCCACGAUUUUCAACUGAACACACAUGAAAGUGCCUAAUACGUUAAAUAUCUUCUCCCGGACUUCAUAAGACCUCACCCAUAGUCAGAAUUAGGUACUACUCAGAUCGAUCUGCCUUCACCUUCUCCAGCCCAGUAGCGAAUAAACAAUGUAAGAGUCAUGGUCCACAGGCCACACAUCUCCCUGCACCUCAACUUCAGACCCAAACACCCGCGCCUCCACACUUUCAGGAAUAAAUCCUACUCUUCCGCCCAAAACGGAUCGACCCGGCUCGAUCUCCCAACCAGACCCGCGUGGCCCCUGCGGCUGCAACUGGUAACACUUGACGGCCGUCCGCACUUCCUCCUUUCUCUUUCUCUUAUUUCUUACGUUUCUCCCUUGCUCCUUUGUCUUUCCCUCAUUUCUUACGUUUCUCCGCUGCUCACUCUUCCCUCCUUACCCUAUCGGGGCCGCAGACCCACGGGGGCCACGUUCACUUCUGCCCCUCGGCCUUGGCAAGCGCGGGCCCGUUGUCGCGCAGAGCCGAGGGUCCUGGGGAAUCCUGGAUUGGCGCAAGGGGCCGCCGCCGUUUCUGCUGGACACCAGGAGAAAACCACGGAAGCGGUAGCCGCCAGCUUCCUCUAUCUCGCCCCAGGGGCUUGGAUCCCACUCCCCACUCACCGCCAGACCGGAAGCAGGAAGGCGGAAGUCGCGGCCUUUGCGUCCCGCCCACAGACGACCCGAACCGCCAGCUGGGCGUUAGGAAGUCUAGGAGCCGGUUUCCGGCUGCGCCAUUGCUGUGCUUGAACCCGAGACUGCCACGUCCUGCGGGGACCAAGUGAUGGGCGAGGAGGCGUGCAGCGGCUUCAGGACUCGAGGAGAGGUUCCGAAGCAGCUAGGAACUUUUGCCUUUGCCUCCCGAGGUCGAUCGGAAGACAACCCCCAUCCCCUGCUGUAGCCGGACAGUUGGAGGGUCCCGGGUGGGUGAGGUGUUUGGCUGAGAGAAACUCAGACCAAAGAGCUGCGGCAAGAAAGCAUUUGGGUUCCCACAAACCGCCCGAAGUCAAGAUGAUUUUCCCAGUUACUGCCUCUGGAUACUUGGAGUGCUGCAUCCCUGGUUAAAAGCAUGGAAGUCUUGGGCAGGAAGAAAGGGCAAAUAAGGAGAAAGCCUUUGUAGCUCUUCAGCUGUAAUCUAGACCAGGGAUCCCCAACGAUGGACUGGUACCUGGUUUGCAGCCUGUUAGGAACAGGGCCUCACAGCAGCAGGUGAGCGAUGGGUGAGUGAGCAUUUCCGUCUAAAUUGCGCCUCCUGUCAGAUCAGCAGCAUCAUUAGAUUUUCAUGGUGCGAACCCUAAUGUGAACUGCAUGUGUGAGGGAUCUAGGUUGUGUGUUCUUUAUGAGAAUCUAAUGCCUGAUGAUCUGAGGUGGAAGAGCUUCAUCCUGAAAACAUGCCCCCUCCCCAUCCAUGGAAAAAUUGUUUUCCACGAAACCAGUCCUUGAUGCCAGAAAGGUUGGAGACUGCUGAUCUAGACCAUGCCUUUACAAUCUAAGUUUGCUUAUCUAGCUUCAAGUUACAGGACAGUCUGUAAGACCAAGAACAGCAUAGGGGUUGCCACAGUGGAGCUCCUUACUGCAAUCUGCAUUGCCUUAACUAAAGGUGGUGUCAGAAUUGGUUCAAAUACUGUGAACUACUUUCCAUAAUGAGGAGUCUGAGCUCGUGAACUGAGAUUCACAGUCUUGGUACAGUAAUGAUAUGUAUACUCUGAUAAAUCACUCUGAGUGUGUUUCCACUUAUAUCUGUGGAAAGCAUACUAGGCAAUCUCCAAUGCCCUUUCAGCUUUAAAAUCUGUAAAUUGGACUGGAUUUGGUCAUUUUUCUUACCUAAAUAAAUAACAUAGUAAGGUAUUUGAUAGAAACAUUAUUGCAAGUUUUCUUAAGGUCUUUUUUUUUUUUUUUAAAUUUUGAGACGGAGCCUCUGUCCUGCAGUGGCGGGAUCUCGGCUCACUGCAAC